CAUAUUAAAAAAUGUUCAAAUAAAUUUUUUAAUAUAAUGAUUGUGUUUUUGUAAUAACAUUUAUAUAUAUGUAUGUGUAAACAUAAGUAUUUGCAUAUGAUUUAUACACAUUUUUUUUUUCAAGCAUUUUACAAAAUGUAUAUAAAAAAAAAAAUAAAAUAAAAUAAAAUAAAAAUAAAAAUAUAAUUUAAUAUUUAAAAACUAUUACAACUUCUUACACUAUGUUAUUCCUUUUUCACAAAUAAUUCUCAAUAAAAUGUUAUGAAGCAAAUCACAAAAAAAACGUUAGAAUUAUUAAAAAAUGAGUAGUGCUUAUGCAUAUAAGUAUAUACACAUAAAUAUAUUUUUUUUUAAUAAGCAAAAUAAAAAUUAUGUUAACUUUAUUUUGUUGCUAUUUUAAUUCCUUUAAAGUCGUUACUAAUUUUAACAACAUUUUUCUCAAUUAAACAUUUAGGGUUAUAUUAAAAAAAAAGAAAAAAAAAAAUGUCAUUAUUUGUUAAAAAAUACGAAAUUUUAUUUUAACAAUAACAAUAUACACACACACCUUUUGAAAUACAUUUUAUUUAAUUGUUUUUAUCGAUUUAUUUUCUUUUUACUAAAAUAACAAAUAAUUUUUUAUUAUUUUAAAAAAAAAAAAUACGACAGAACAAAACAAAAUAACACACUCGCAUAUUUAGAUUCAUUUUCAUUAAAUUAUACAAUUUUUAUUUUCUAAAUGGACAAGUACAAGCUGUCUAAAGAAAGGGUAACUUAAAAAAAAUAACAAAAAAUUAUAAAAUAAAUAAAUGCAUAAUAUAAUCAAAUUUUUCAAUUUAACAAAAAAUAAAAAUUGCUUUAUCAUUUUUUUGCUUUCACAUACAUAAUUUUUUAUAUUAUAACAUGUUUUAAGAGAGAUGAAUUAGAGUUUAUAUUUAAUGAAUUCAAUAAAAAGAAAAAAAGGAUUAGAUGGAAACACGUUGUUAUAUAUUUUAAAAUCAAUGGGUAUAUUCCUUAAUAAAAGCGAAUCAGCCGCUUUGUUAGAUGAAUGUAAACAAAACGGUAAUUUAAAUUUAAAUAAUUUUUACGCUAUUAUGCAAGAAUUUUAUUAUGAUGAAAAUAUAGGGAAAAUGAUAUUUUCAUCAUUAAAAAAACAUACUACACAGAAUGCUAAUGGCAUUGCUUUAUCAAAAUUAAAAAAUAUAUUGUUGACAUUAGGUUCUGGCGUAAUGUUAACAGAAGAAGAAGUAGACACUUUUUUAAAAUGGAAUUCAGUGCAAAUGAAAAGAAAGAAAUAUUAUUUGAUGAUUUUAUACACAAGUAAAUACAAAUUAUAUUUCAUUAUUUAUUUUAUCUUACUUUUUAAAAAUCUCUUUUUUUUUUUUUCAUAUAAAAUUGUAAAUUUUAUUUGCUAUAAAAUAUAACUUAAAUUUUAUGCUUGUUAUUUAGGAUACUAAAGGAAUGAUUGACAAAAACGUUUUAUCGACAAAUAACAAAUUAUAUACGUGGAUUCCCUAUUUUUUUUUUCUUUUAUAUAUUAUGACUGACUAUAUGAACAUGCUAGAAGCAAUUUAUUUCAUUUCGUCUUUAUUCAUCAUAUAGCUUAUGUUUAAAACUUAAAAUAUAACAUUCAUUUUUUUUUCUUUUGUUUACACCACUUAUUAAAUUUAUAAAACUAAAAAAAACAUGUUAUUCAUGUUCAUUUCAAACAAAAUAAACAUUUUCUUCAAAUGCUAUUUAUAAUUUCA
rnacentral:lncRNA from 1 species